UCCCGUUCACAGUGAACAGACACGGGGACCCACACCGGGUCCCCCGGCCUGCAAUAAAUAGAAAUUUAAAGUGCUAAUUAAUAACAACAAGUCAACAAAGUACUCAUUACUAGUUUGUCAAUUAAAAGUUGGAAGCACAGGGGAAGUUAAUCAAUGUUUUAGUAGCAGUAAAAGCAAUUUCGUUUCGUGAAAAACAUCUUCGCAAGUCGAGUUCGAGAUUGUUUCAAGGAACAGUUUGUCGAAUAUUUAUUGAUAUACAAAAUGAUUAUGAAAUCAGUAAAAAAGGUAGCUGUCUUAAGAGUCAACAGUCUCCCGAGCCAACAGCAAAUUUUAUUGUGGAGGUGAAAUCAUAUUUAAUUUCUUAAGCUUUUUAAUAAUAUCCAAAGAUAGUAUAGGUUCAAUUAGUACUAGGGUUUGUAUUUUCUUAGACUUAGGUUUUCGAAUGUAAAACAGUGUUGAUUUAUAACUCGCAAAUAUUCAAAGUAGUUAUGUUCAUGCAUAUUAUUUCAACAGCCAACUUUACACAAAUAGGUGUAAAGCAAGUUUUCUGAAUAAAAUUGCCUUAAUGUACGGUCUUGUUAAAGUUUUUGAGCUAAACUUUCUCGUUUUGUUUUAACCUGUUACGCUUGCUCUCUGUUAAAUUGUUUCUGGUUACUGUUAAAGAUAUUGUUAAUUGUUUUGUUAUUGUAAACCUAAAGUGGGAAAUUGUUGAGUUUCUUCUGUUUUUGUUUGAAACAAGUUAAUGUUACCGCGAUCUUGUUUUUGUUUCUGUUUAUGUUUCACAUUGGAUCUGCACCUUAAUUUUGUUCAUUGUUACGAUACCAUCAGCCAUACUGUUAAGUUUUCAAUUUCUGUUUUAAUUUUUUGUGAUUUGGUGUUGCAAAAUUUGAAUUUAUGUUAAAUCAGUUACGGUUUUUGUUUUGUUGCUGUAACCCACCGGAGGGAGCUGUUGAAUUUUUUCUGUUUAUGUUUGAACCACGUUAAUGUUAUCCCAGUUUUGUUUUCGUAUCUGUUAAUCUAACGUUUUCGAUCUGUUUCCUUUGAUUUAUUACUGUUACCAUUAAAACAGUAUUUAUUACUAUAAUUUUUUGAUUUGAGUUCAUGUAAGUUUUUAAUAGUUUAUCAGCUGAAUUACCAAGAUUUACUGUUAAUGAAAUACCUUUUAUGAUGUUUUAGUUUUACUAUCGUCAUAGUUAACUGUUUGAACGAUAAUAAUUACCUCAGUUACCGUUUUUUUGUUUGACUAAGAUGCCGACAUUCUUAAGUUUGAAGUCCAGUUGAUCUGGCAUUAUUUUGCCUUAUAUUGAGAUGUUGAUCAUCAUAAUAUUAUUAAUUAAGUUUUUAUUAAUAUUUAUAUUGGUAAAUAAAAUACUACACACCUUAAAUGCAUCGUGUAAGCUCAGAAUUCAGUUUGUAUUGUUUUGUUGAUUAGUCAAUAUUUGUUGUUUAUUGUUUCAAUUGUUUCUGUUGAUUUGUUCAUUGUUCCAGAGUUGAAUUUUUGUUUUGUUUUGAGUGAUAAUUGUUGAUGUUAUAAAAUUGAUUGUUAUUCGUCACAUAGUGCCUUAAAUCCUUAAGUGCCUCAACACUCACUCAUUGUUAUCGCCUUCUUUUGUGGUUAUAACAAACCUCAAAAAAAUGCUAUUAUCGUAAUUGUAAACGAGCAUUAUUACAUUUACGAUAAUAUUUAUCGUUUGCCUAAUGACUGUUUUUGCAUUAACAAUAAUAAUAAUUGCCAUAGAUUGAAAUUUAAACACACGCUGUGUGAUAAUUCGAUAAAAUUAUCGAGAUUAUACAGCUAUAAUUAAAUUGUUCACACAAGCGCUGCGUUUUAAGCUGUAUAGUAAUUAACAGUAAUGUUGCAGAAUUCACCAGAAAUAAAGUUCAUUAAAACAGUUUAUUCCGCGCGAAAAUUGUCAUUAGGCCCCCAUUGUUUCAUAGUUGUCAAUCGCUCACUUUUGUUAUAAAUUUCGUUACCGCGUUGUCCAGUUGUAAGUGUUGAAUUAUUGUUAAGUUUAAAUGUUGUUAAGUUAAAAUUAAAUUUAUUAUUAGUUGUUUAACUGUUAAAGGAAUGGCUGUGUUUGUUAGUUUUACGUUAAGUUUUCGUUUUAACUGUUUGUUUGUUUAGCCGUCAUUAGGGCCACCAAAUCGACCGUAUUUAGCGAAGAAUGUAUGCUAAAUGAGUAACAAUUGUAAAUAAGUAAUCUAAGUAAAUUGCCUUUAAGUUAAAACUUAAGCUUUUGAUAAAAUUAACAAGUAUUUAUUUAGAGAAGUACGGAAGUGUGUGUGUGACUGUGUGAAAUAAAUAUAAUAAUGAAGAAA